CAAGUUCCAAAUAUUACAAAAUCACAUAAAUACAAGUUUGGUUACUAUUACAUCAUUUGACACUAUUACAUUACAUCAACAGGAUGCAUUACAAAUUUCACAAAAAAAACACUAUCCUAAACCUAUGCGUCCUAAACUAAUGUCGUUCAUCUUCAAUCUUCAUGCUAUUGUAUCUUCAACCCUUGCUCACUUUACAAGCUAG